rnacentral:rRNA from 1 species
UACGUAGGGUGCAAGCGUUAUCCGGAAUUAUUGGGCGUAAAGAGCUCGUAGGCGGUUUGUCGCGUCUGCUGUGAAAACCCGAGGCUCAACCUCGGGCCUGCAGUGGGUACGGGCAAACUAGAGUGCGGUAGGGGAGAUUGGAAUUCCUGGUGUAGCGGUGGAAUGCGCAGAUAUCAGGAGGAACACCGGUGGCGAAGGCGGGGUCUCUGGGCAGUAACUGACGCUGAGGAGCGAAAGCGUGGGGAGCGAACAGG